rnacentral:rRNA from 1 species
UACGUAGGGUGCGAGCGUUAAUCGGAAUUACUGGGCGUAAAGCGUGCGCAGGCGGUUUUGUAAGCCAGGUGUGAAACCUCCAGGCUCAACCUGGAGACGCCACCCGAUACUGCUGUGACUAGAGUCCGGUAGGGGAGCGUGGAAUUCCUGGUGUAGCGGUGAAAUGCGCAGAUAUCAGGAGGAACACCAGCGGCGAAGGCGGCGCUCUGGGCCGGAACUGACGCUGAGGAGCGAAAGCGUGGGGAGCAAACAGG